AGGUGCGAUGAUACUAGCUCUAAUGCAUCGGAUCCCAUUAGAACUCUCCAGUUAAAUGUGCUUGAGAGAGAGUAGUACUAGGAUGGGUGACCUCCUAGGAAGUCCUCGUGUUGCACCCU
rnacentral:rRNA from 1 species